UACGAAGGGUGCAAGCGUUAAUCGGAAUUACUGGGCGUAAAGCGCGCGUAGGUGGCCAAUUAAGUCAAAUGUGAAAGCCCCGGGCUCAACCUGGGAAUUGCAUUUGAAACUGGGGAACUAGAGUGUGUGAGAGGGGGGUAGAAUUCCAAGUGUAGCGGUGAAAUGCGUAGAGAUUUGGAGGAAUACCAGUGGCGAAGGCGGCCCCCUGGCACAACACUGACGCUCAGGUGCGAAAGCGUGGGGAGCAAACAGG
rnacentral:rRNA from 1 species